rnacentral:tRNA from 4 species
GCGGAUGUGGUGGAACGGCAGACACGCUAGCUUGAGGGGCUAGUGCCUUCACGGGCGUGCGGGUUCAAAUCCCGCCAUCCGCAC